rnacentral:rRNA from 1 species
AGAGAAGAACAAGGAUGAGAGUAGAAUGUUCAUCCCUUGACGGUAUCUAACCAGAAAGCCACGGCUAACUACGUGCCAGCAGCCGCGGUAAUACGUAGGUGGCAAGCGUUGUCCGGAUUUAUUGGGCGUAAAGCGAGCGCAGGCGGUUUCUUAAGUCUGAUGUGAAAGCCCCCGGCUCAACCGGGGAGGGUCAUUGGAAACUGGGAAACUUGAGUGCAGAAGAGGAGAGUGGAAUUCCAUGUGUAGCGGUGAAAUGCGUAGAUAUAUGGAGGAACACCAGUGGCGAAGGCGGCUCUCUGGUCUGUAACUGACGCUGAGGCUCGAAAGCGUGGGGGGCAAACAGGAUUAGAUACCCUGGUAGUCCACGCCGUAAACGAUGAGUGCUAAGUGUUGGAGGGUUUCCGCCCUUCAGUGCUGCAGCUAACGCAUUAAGCACUCCGCCUGGGGAGUACGACCGCAAGGUUGAAACUCAAAGGAAUUGACGGGGGCCCACACAAGCGGUGGAGCAUGUGGUUUAAUUCGAAGCAACGCGAAGAACCUUACCAGGUCUUGACAUCCUUUGACCACUCUAGAGAUAGAGCUUCCCCUUCGGGGGCAAAGUGACAGGUGGUGCAUGGUUGUCGUCAGCUCGUGUCGUGAGAUGUUGGGUUAAGUCCCGCAACGAGCGCAACCCUUAUUGUUAGUUGCCAUCAUUUAGUUGGGCACUCUAGCGAGACUGCCGGUGACAAACCGGAGGAAGGUGGGGAUGACGUCAAAUCAUCAUGCCCCUUAUGACCUGGGCUACACACGUGCUACAAUGGGAAGUACAACGAGUCGCGAAGUCGCGAGGCUAAGCUAAUCUCUUAAAGCUUCUCUCAGUUCGGAUUGUAGGCUGCAACUCGCCUACAUGAAGCCGGAAUCGCUAGUAAUCGCGGAUCAGCACGCCGCGGUGAAUACGUUCCCGGGCCUUGUACACACCGCCCGUCACACCACGAGAGUUUGUAACACCCGAAGUCGGUGAGGUAACCUUUUGGAGCCAGCCGCCUAAGGUGGGAUAGAUGAUUGGGGUGAAGUCGUAACAAGGUAGCCGUAUCGGAAGGUGCGGCUGGAUCACCU